rnacentral:rRNA from 1 species
CUACGGGCGGCACCAGUGAGGAAUAUUGCACAAUGGGGGGAACCCUGAUGCAGCAACGCCGCGUGGAGGAUGACGCAUUUCGGUGUGUAAACUCCUUUUAUAUGUCAAGAAAAUGACGGUAGCAUAUGAAUAAGCACCGGCUAACUCCGUGCCAGCAGCCGCGGUAAUACGGAGGGUGCAAGCGUUACUCGGAAUCACUGGGCGUAAAGGACGCGUAGGCGGGUUGGAAAGUCAGGUGUGAAAUCCUACAGCUUAACUGUAGAACUGCACUUGAAACUUCUAAUCUAGAGUAUGGGAGGGGGAGAUGGAAUUAGUGGUGUAGGGGUAAAAUCCGUAGAUAUCACUAGGAAUACCUAAAGCGAAGGCGAUCUCCUGGAACAUUACUGACGCUAAGGCGUGAAAGCGUGGGGAGCAAACAGGAUUAGAUACCCCCGAGUC